rnacentral:rRNA from 1 species
UACGUAGGGACCAAGCGUUGUUCGGAUUUACUGGGCGUAAAGGGCGCGUAGGCGGCCACGCACGUCCGUUGUGAAAUCGCCCGGCUCAACUGGGCGGGGUCAGCGGAUACGGUGUGGCUCGAGCAAGCUAGGGGGCAAUGGAAUUCCCGGUGUAGUGGUGGAAAUGCGUAGAUAUCGGGAGGAACACCAGUGGCGAAGGCGGUUGCCUGGAGCUUUGCUGACGCUGAGGCGCGAAAGCGUGGGGAGCGAUCCGG